rnacentral:rRNA from 1 species
GGCUCCUCGCUCACCCACUUAUGAGGAGUCGGACCUGCUCAGUGAAUCAUUUCAACAGCCGCGGUACUCUGACCGUGCAAAGGUAGCAUAAUCAUUUGCCUUAUAAUUGAAGGCUAGUAUGAAUGGUUUGACGAGAAUAAAGCUGUCUCUUUCUGACGAAAUAUAAUUUUAUUUAUAGGUGAAGAAGCCUAUAUCCUGCUGAAAGACAAGAAGACCCUGUCGAGCUUGAAACAAUUUAGUAAGCUGGUAACAUACUUGUAAAAGAGCUAAAUUGCUAAAAAUUUUAGUUGGGGCGACUGAGGAACAGAAGAAGCUUCCUCUAUCCUUUAGAGGCUUACCGGCAUUGAUCCAGCAUCUUUGAUUAAAGGAAUUAGUUACCGCAGGGAUAACAGCAUAAUCUUCUUUGAGAGCCCUCAUCGAAAAGGAGGUUUGUGACCUCGAUGUUGGACCAGAAUCUCCGAAAGAUGCAGUCGUCUUUAAGGGUUGGUCUGUUCGACCAUUAAAAUUCUACGUGAUCUGAGUUCAGACCGGCGUGAGCCAGGUCAGUUUCUAUCUUCAGCCAAUAAAAUAGCUUCAGUACGAAAGGACCAAGUUAUUGUAAAGGUUUACUUGUACUGAUCAAAUCUAAAAAACACUUAAACUCGUAGCUUAAUCAAAUUAGCAAAGAUUAAUGCAAUUGACUUAGGAUCAAUAGACAUAGGUGGAAGUCCUUUAUUUGAUAAUGUUCGUAACAUAGAGGUGGCAGAAUAA